GCAAGUCGAACGGUAGGGAAUCUUCGGAUUCCUGAGAGUGGCGAACGGGUGAGUAACACGUAGAUGAUCUACCUUUUAGUUGGGGAUAGCCCAUGGAAACAUGGAGUAAUACCGAAUAAUCUCUUAAUUCUUUAGGAUUUAGAGGAAAGCAGCGUUUGCUGCGCUGAAAGAUGAGUCUGCGCACUAUUAGCUAGUUGGUGGGGUAAGAGCCUACCAAGGCGACGAUAGUUAGCCGACCUGAGAGGGUGAUC
rnacentral:rRNA from 1 species